AAAAGUCCAUAUAUGAUAUAUGGCUGUGAAUUCUUAUGGUGAAUUCUGGUUUGAAGCGCUAUUAUCUAGUAUUGACUAGCUUACAAUCGCCAUCUACGAUGUUUUACCUUCAAACGAAUUUGCAUGCGAGUUAUUGGCUUAAGUGAUUUUGAAGGUAUCAACAACUGUACACUAAAACACAAAUGACAUGUGCUAGUGCAGCGUACUCGGGUGCAAUUACUCGCACACACAGUAUUUAAGUUGUCAUCGGAGCCAGAGUUACCAUUAAAUAGGUAUAAUGCAGUUGGGAAAACGCAUUUCAGAUAAUUGUUCAGUCGAACUGGGCUUGGUAAUUACCUGGCUCGUUAGGGUUUUUUUCCCUUUGUUGUCAUCGUAGUAAUUUGUAUAUGUUCUGAGCGACCGCACGGAAUCCCUAAUAAGUAUAACCUGGGCUAGAGUUUUAUACGUACACAUGUAAGUGCGUAAGCUGUGCCGUUGUUAUCGGAGCUCGAAUACCGGAAAGUCAAAUAUACAUAUAAUAUAUUUCAAAAACGUUCAUCUCUCGUACUCUGUAAUAUAAUACAAGUUUCAAUUUAUGCCAUCGCGGUAAGAAACUGAGGGGCCGAGACUCCAGCAAAGGCGGUACUCCUUAAGGUGCUCUGAAGCAAUACGAGCCCAAAGAUUCUAUAAGGGUGGUGGUAAGGGAAGGUGCAAUCACCAAGUACAAUACACAAUCGAGAUCCAGCAUAAAAAGUUGCGAAUAUAAAACAAAAGUGUCACUCGCCGUGGGUCUGGAGGUACCAGACGAUGUCCGAGGCUGAGCUUGCAUUGUUAUUCCCCUUUGUCGCUGUCUGUGCUUGUGUUGAUUUGUUUUUAGAAGUAUUUAUGCAUGUAUGUGAAUAAAUGUAUGUAUAUGUGGCCAUUUGA